ensembl:misc_RNA Metazoa_SRP Metazoan signal recognition particle RNA
GCCAGGCACAGUGGAGCAUGCCUCUAGUCCCAGCUACUUGGGAGGCUGAGGCUGGAGGAUCGCUUGAGUCCAGGAGUUCUGGGCUGUAGUAUGCUAUGCUGAUGGAGUGUCUGCACUAAGUUCAGCAUCAAUAUGGUGACCUUCUGGGUGCCGGGGACCACCAGGUUGCCUAAGGAGGAGUGAACUGGCCCAGGUCGGAAACAGAGCAGGUCAAAACUCCUGUGCUGAUCAGUAGUGGGAUCCUACCUGUGAAUAGCCACUGCAUUCCAGCCUGGGCAACAUAGCGAGACCCUGUCUCU